rnacentral:miRNA from 1 species
ACUGUAUGUGAAAAAAUAUG